rnacentral:rRNA from 1 species
GUGCCAGCCGCCGCGGUAAUACCGGCAGCCCGAGUGAUGGCCGAUCUUAUUGGGCCUAAAGCGUCCGUAGCUGGCCGCGCAAGUCCAUCGGAAAAUCCACCCGCCCAACGGGUGGGCGUCCGGUGGAAACUGUGUGGCUUGGGACCGGAAGGCGCGACGGGUACGUCCGGGGUAGGAGUGAAAUCCCAUAAUCCCGCACGGACCACCGAUGGCGAAAGCACUUCGAGAAAACGGAUCCGACAGUGAGGGACGAAAGCUAAGAUCGCGAACCGGAUUAGAAACCCCGGUAGUCC